UGACCUCUCUUGCCUCUCUUUUCCAUUCAACCCUAGUUUCUCACUCUUUGCCGUCACCGAGAUCUAGCCACCACCCCUCUUCUAGAGGGGGUGGGGGAGUAAGGGAUCUAGUAGGAGAUCUCCUUCCCUCACACCCUCCCCUACCCAACAAACACUCCUCUUCUUCAAUUUGACCAAUCCUCUCCAUCUUUUACCCUUCGUGCAUCCAUUGAUACACCCUCUCCUCUUUUUUCAUUGAGCCAUUGAGUCAACAUCCCAUCAACACAAAUCUUCAUUGUACCAUUAAUUAAAACUAAAUCAUUGGAAUCAAGAGUUCAUUCUCCAUUUUCUUGUGACGUUCCUCAUCCUCUUUGGCUUCAAUUCACCAUACAAAAUCACCCGUCACCACACAAGAUUUUAUUUUUGUUCGAUCUCAGUUGAAAAAAGUUUGAGAGAAUCUAGAACCUUGGGAGUCGAGAAGAUCUAGAAUCUACCAAUGCUUUUCAAGAACGUUAUUCUAUCGUCAUAUGCAGUGACACCAACCUAUGAUCUCCUACAAAAGAUUUUCUCUUGAUUGCAGUCGAAUCUCAGAUUGUGGAGGAUUGUGUAAGACAAGGCGCAUUGUGCAUUGGAGGCCAAACGUGCGCCAUAGUGCACAAGGCUUGUGGAACAUGUUGUGUGAGGUGCAAGUUUAUCCCACCUAGUACUUCCAGCAAUAGGGAGCUAUGUGGAACCUACUAUAUAGAUAUGAUCACCCACAGCAAGAGAAAGUGUCCUUAGAGUCCAAUCCAUAGAAGGUGAGCCCAUUGGGCCCUUCGUGUACCCGGGCUAUUCACACCAAGCAAAACAACUAGUCAAGAUUAGUAAGUACUAAUAAAUAUUUGUUAUGUGUUAUGUAAACUUAUGGGAAUUUGGAUUUGUCAUCUUAAGACCAUGCUUUAGUUUCUUUUUUGCUUAUCCCAUGUUCUAGUUUAUGCCUUUGUUAUAAUGGUAUGAUACUAGUUUGAACCAAGUAUAUAAACAUCGCGCUUAGUUUGAACC